GAGCGUAUUCAUAAAAUUACAGUAUAAUCCAGCUAGCCUGUAAUUUUAUGUAUAAACUAGU
rnacentral:pre_miRNA from 1 species